UCCGACUGCAAGUUCUGCUUUUUUUCUCGGUAUAUGGUGGUGAUACGACUACAUUCGUUCAACUUUGAUACGUUUUAACAUAACAGCGCAAACAAAUUGCCUUCUAAGCGUUACAAUGUAGAACAUGAAGACUCCAGUUACGUUUAUUAUGAGCAUACGCAAUUUCAGGUUAACACAGUAUUGAUUAAUGAUUUACGGUAAAGCGAGAAUUAAGAUAUAAUGUUGCUUGUACGUAUGUAAUAGACUAUAGACAGAUCGUAUAUGUUUGCAGGAUUUGGGCGAAAGACGUGCAGCGUAUCCUACUUUUCCGAGGUGCAAGGGACCCGCGAAUGGCGUUCUGUCGGCUUUGCGAAAUGGCGGACCAAGGAGGAGACAGCGAGGCUGAAAUCCGACUACAGGGCUCCAAGCUGCAGAUAAGAUACGGACACGGGACGCCGCCAGGAUCGGGAUUCAGCCUCCUAUACUGAUGUUUCGGCCAUUAUAUCAGGCAGUUCCCGAAUAGUUUUCUUUUGAGUCCAUUUUUUCUUAUGUAAUGCAAAGGUUUGAAAGAAAAAUCAGUUAAAAGAAAGAUACUUUAAUUCUUUUUUUAAAACCUCAUUAUACACUACGUUGGAAAAACAUAAAAUAAAAGCAUAUAUCACUUCUAUUCUAAAACUUGUAAAAAGUAGCAACGUAAAAUGAAUUACAGACAAAAGUAUACAAUUCCUUGUCUUAGUAAAACAAAGGGAGAAAAAUCAUUAAGGACAGUAAUGACGAGAUACUAGAGGAGAGACCACACUACUUGUAAAAAUGUAAAAAAAAAAAAACGAAGUCUCAUAUUCACAGAUGUUUGUGGGAGGAAUUUAAGAUGCAGUCUCAUGCCCAUACACGUCCUGUUCCUGCGUCAGUCAUUUUUUUACGUUCUGAAAAUGUACAAUUAUCACAUUCAAAGACACCCUUAUUCUACAAAUAGUUUAGAUCACCAUGGGUCUUUGUAAUGUAUUCACUGAAUAAUGAACUACUGCAUUGGUUGGCUUAUUCAUUUAUGUAACUCUGGCUUAAUUGAGAUAAUGAUCUGCAAGCACUAAGCAAGAAAUGAACCAGCAGAAACCUCCAAAUGAAAAUGUUACAUCUGAGGGUACUUUUCUUUUUCCAACUCUGCAGAGAAAGUGGCGGGGCAGAGUAGGUAUCGUGCUGCAUUGUCCCUCAUGGCAUAGGCUGAUGGUAUCACCACAAGUUGAUGGUACCAUGGUUUUUUUUUUGGCUAGGCUUUUGGAUAUCAGUUCUUUGUUUAACAUUUCCUGUUUUUUUUUUUUUUUUGAAGUGCUGAGGGUAGACAAGUACACAGAUACAACUUGGAAUUCUCAAGACAAAGUGAAACUUUGUUUUUCAGGUUCAUGUACAGUGUCUCAGAACACUGGAGAAUGUACACUGCAUGCUUGGAGAGAUCAGAUUAGUGUGAGGAACUCUGCACUGGAUACAUGCUAGAACAUUCUGUGGCUGUGUUCUUUACAGGGACCCAAUUAGUAGCUCACUGACAUUUCCCAGAGAUCUCUGGAAGGCUGACAACGAGGAGAGGGGCUGGUAUAGUUAGUGGAGAGCUUCUGUUGGCCAUUUUAAUGGGUAGACAUUGUUCUGCAAAGAUUUGAAUGAUAUUAUUACAGGAGCUAAAUCUCACUUACAGCACAGAGGCAGUCGUACGGACACUUAUGAAUUUGCCAGACCUAUCUUCCUCAGAGAUAAGGUCUUUGAAUUAUGCAUAACGUUACACCGUGACUGAUGUUUCAUGCACAUUUUUUCAAUAUGUUACGACAGGUAGAAACGCUUCUAGGCAGUGAAAACGUUCCUCUGCUGAUUUACGACUGACAUUAGGAGAUCCUUAGGAAAUGUAAGUUCCUCCUAAUGUGCUUCUUUUCCAAAAAAGGAUACAGAGCGGAGUAUUUUAUAUUAUAUUAGAGCAUGAAGCAGUAACAUAUUCUGCUUUCACACAAUAGAAUUCUUUACUGUUGGGCUGAAAAAAGGUUUCCCACUGAUUUUGCUCCAGGUUAUGGGAAAUGCUGGCCUUUGCACAGAUUUUUAAUGAACAGUUGCAGGCAGAAACAAACAAAAUUCUCAAAGGAUACUCAUUUGGCACAUGACUCCACGGCGGAUGGCCAUUCGCUACGAUCCUGGCUCAUUUCCUGUUAGAGUAGGAGUGAGAGGGAAAGAUGAAGCCUUGGCUUGAUGGGACAAGCCCCCCCCCCCCCCAUGUCACUCUCAGUAUGGGCAGGUCCUUCUGGUUCCUUUGCUGCAGGAAAAAAAACACCAAACACCUAAGGGAGCGGGAAGAUAACAAAAGAACGAACCAGAGUGGAAAAACACCACAGCGCAUAUCUUGAGCCAACAGUCAGGAAGUGCAACUUUUUCUUUGGCUACACCAUAAAAGGAACUGUUUUUAAUUCCCCCCCCCCCCCCCGAAAGGUCUCUGUAGAAACUGCUUGAUUGAACAAAACACAAGAAUGAGAUGUGAUUUCUUAAACGCAGCUCAAUAAAAAAGAUCACCAUUGAUCUGAGCUUUACAGAACAUGUAUAAAUUAUAUAGUGUAAUUGUUAUAUAGUGUAACAGUUUUAUGGUGUAACAACUGUGUCUUUGAAGUGAUAGUGAGUCUUUGUUUCAAGCAAAAUAUGUAAUAUGUAAGUUUUUAUUCAUAGUGUUUCUUUGUAUAUUUCAAUCUGAUUAAAAAGUUUUCACAGAAAGGUAUUCCAUUUAAAUAGGUUUUCCUUAAAAUUGGGUGCGACUUCCUUGCAUUAUUUUGCUACCAACUCUUUUAUAAAAGACUGUACCACUAAAUAAACUCCUGAGUUAUUGUAGAUUAUAGUGUGAUUCGUGUUCAGUGAGAUAGAUUCACAAAUUCACACAGGUGUAACCGAUCACCUAGCAACCAGAUGAACUAUGUCAAGGUAGUGCCUGUCAAUUUUUUAUUAACAAGCAAUUUGUAUAAUUAUAAGUUGCAACAACAUCCUACAAACUUAAUAUUCACUUGCCUUUGCGUCUUUGAAUUUUUUCUUUUGUCACUCAAUACAGUAUAUGUAAUUAUGCUUCUCUAUUAAAUUGCAUUGGAUGAAA